CUCCAUUCUUCAUUGGAAUAGGACCGUUGCAUCCCCAGUGCUUGAGAUUGAGCAGUGGUUCACACUGGGGGCGCUUCCACACCCCAGCCCCAACUCCACGUGGACAUCUGGCAAUGUUUGGAGACACUUUUGUCACAAUGUGGGGUGGCAGCCACUGGCAUCUGGUGGGUAGAGGCCAGGGAUGCUGCUCAACACCCCAAGGGGCACAGGACAGCCGCCCAGCAACCAAGAAUGACCUGGCCCAGGAGAAUACUGAGAAGAAGGAGAUCUGAACUGUAAAGUGUCCUUGGCAUAAGAAGACACUUCUCUCCCACCUAGC